CUCAUGGUCUUACGGGAUUACAAUGAGAACAAUUUAAACGACUUAACGAGGAACAAUUAGAGGGCAAGUCUGGUGCCAGCAGCCGCGGUAAUUCCAGCUCUAAUAGUGUAUAUUAAAGUUGUUGCAGUUAAAAAGCUCGUAGUUGAAUUUCUGGCUGUGGCUAGUGUUGGCUUCGGUCAUGCUAGUUGCGGUCAUCCGUCUGCAAACUGUAUUAUUCAUCCUUCACUGGUUGGUGCAGGGAGUAGACAUUUUACCUUGAAAAAAUUGGAGUGUUUCAGGCAGGCAUUUGCCGGGAUACAUUAGCAUGGAAUAAUGGAAUAGGACUCGUCCUUUUUGUUGGUUAUAGGAUACGAGUAAUGAUUAAUAGGGACAGUUGGGGGCAUUAGUAUUUAAUUGUCAGAGGUGAAAUUCUUGGAUUUAUUAAAGACUAACUUAUGCGAAAGCAUUUGCCAAGGAUGUUUUCAUUAAUCGAGAACGAAAGUUAGGGGAUCAAAGACGAUCAGAUACCGUCCUAGUCUUAACUAUAAACUAUACCGACUCGGGAUCGGCCGGGCAUCUAACCUCGGUCGGCACCGUAUGAGAAAUCAAAGUCUUUAGGUUCUGGGGGGAGUAUGGUCGCAAGGCUGAAACUUAAAGGAAUUGACGGAAGGACACACCAGGUGUGGAGCCUGCGGCUUAAUUUGACCCAACACGGGGAAACUUACCAGGUUAAAACAUCGUUGGGAUUGACAGAUUGAGAGCUCUUUCUUGAUUCGAUGGGUGGUGGUGCAUGGCCGUUCUUAGUUGGUGGAGUGAUUUGUCUGGUUAAUUCCGUUAACGAACGAGACCUUAACCUGCUAACUAGUUCCUUGGUUAAUCACUGGGGUAACUUCUUAGAGGGACUAUGGGAUUGAAGCUCAUGGAAGUUUGAGGCAAUAACAGGUCUGUGAUGCCCUUAGAUAUCCUGGGCCGCACGCGCGCUACAAUGACUCUUUCAGAAAGUUCUAUCCUGGUCCGGAAGGAUUCGGGUAAUCUUUUUAGUGGGAGUCGUGUUAGGGAUCGAUCUUUGGAAUUAUAGAUCUUGGACGAGGAAUAUCUAGUAUGUGCAAGUCAUCAGCUUGUACAGAUUAUGUCCCUGUCUUUUGUACACACCGCCCGUCGCUGCUACCGAUCGAGUGGUCCGGUGAACCUUUUGAAUUGAGUUUUGCCUCGUGUGAAAUUUGAGAAGUUAAGUAAACCUUAUCACUUAGAGGAAGCAGAAGUCGUAACAAGGUU
rnacentral:rRNA from 1 species